AACGUACGCUGGCGGCACGCCUAACACAUGCAAGUCGAACGCAGUAGCAAUACUGAGCGGCAGACGGGUGAGUAACAUGUGGGAAUCUGCCUUGUGGUUCAGGACAACAUUGGGAAACCGAUGCUAAUACUGGAUAAGCCCUUACGGGGAAAGUUUUAAUGCCAUAAGAUGAGCCCGCAUUUGAUUAGUUAGUUGGUGAGGUAAUGGCUCACCAAGACAAUGAUCAACAGCUGAUCUGAGAGGAUGAUCAGCCACACUGGGACUGAGACACGGCCCAGACUCCUACGGGAGGCAGCAGUGGGGAAUCUUGCACAAUGGAGGAAACUCUGAUGCAGCGAUGCCGCGUGAGUGAAGAAGGCCUUUGGGUUGUAAAGCUCUUUUGUAGGGGAAGAUAAUGACUGUACCCUAAGAAUAAGGUCCGGCUAACUUCGUGCCAGCAGCCGCCGUAA
rnacentral:rRNA from 1 species